CCCGUCCCGUCCCGAGCCGAGCGAACCCGGCCCGGCUCGGCCGCGGAAGGAGAACGAGAAGGAGGAGGAGAAGGAGGAGGAGGAGGAAAAGGAGGAGGAGGCGGCGGCGGUGGCGGUGCUUCCCCCUCCCUCCCUCCCUGCCCGGCGGGACAAAGGGCUGCGGCGCGCAGGAGCCAUGGGCCGGGGGCCGCCGCGGUAGGAGCAUCCCGGGGCCGGCGGGGACGCGGCGCUGGACAUGGAGCCGGCGGCGCGGGCCAGCGGGGAUAUCCUGAGGCGGAACCCGCAGCAGGACUACGAGCUGAUCCAGCGGGUGGGGAGCGGCACCUACGGCGACGUGUACAAGGCUAGAAAUCUUCAUACAGGAGAACUGGCUGCUGUAAAAAUAAUCAAGUUAGAGCCUGGAGACGACUUCUCACUGAUCCAGCAAGAGAUAUAUAUGGUUAAAGAAUGCAAACACUGCAACAUAGUCGCCUAUUUUGGGAGUUAUCUCAGCCGUGAGAAGCUGUGGAUAUGCAUGGAAUACUGUGGUGGGGGAUCCCUCCAGGACAUUUACCAUGUAACAGGACCUCUGUCAGAGUUGCAAAUUGCUUAUGUGUGCAGAGAAACUCUACAGGGUCUUGCUUAUUUACACAUGAAGGGCAAAAUGCACAGAGAUAUAAAGGGUGCAAACAUUCUCCUCACAGACCACGGAGAUGUUAAAUUGGCUGACUUUGGGGUAGCAGCAAAAAUAACAGCCACUAUUGCAAAGAGGAAAUCCUUUAUUGGCACCCCUUACUGGAUGGCCCCCGAGGUGGCGGCGGUGGAGAAGAACGGGGGGUACAACCAGCUGUGCGACAUCUGGGCCGUGGGCAUCACUGCCAUCGAGCUGGCAGAGCUGCAGCCACCCAUGUUCGACCUGCACCCCAUGAGGGCUCUGUUUUUAAUGUCAAAAAGUAAUUUUCAACCACCAAAGCUAAAGGAAAAAGCAAAAUGGUCAGCAACAUUCCAUAAUUUUGUCAAAAUAGCACUUACAAAAAACCCAAAGAAGAGACCAACAGCAGACAGACUUCUCACUCACAGCUUUGUAGGGCAGCCUGGUCUCUCCAGGUCUUUAGCAGUUGAGCUGUUGGACAAAGUCAACAACCCCGAGAACCACACCCACUACGGGGAAGUCGACGAUGACGAUUUUGAGCCUCACUCCGUGAUCCGCCACACCAUCCGCUCCACCAACAGGAACAUCCGGGCAGAGAGAACAGCAUCAGAGAUCAACUUUGAUAAGCUGCAGUUUGAGCCCCCUCUACGGAAAGAAACAGAAGCUCGGGAUGAAAUGGUUGUGGCAGCUGGCAGUGACUUUGCUUCACAUUGGAAUCCUUUUGUUGAUGGAAACAACAAGGGACUGCUCACAAAAUUUGGAGAUGGGAGUGAAGAUGUUGAAGAAUCGACACUAAAGCGAGCUGGGCCACCCCCACUGCCUCCCAAGCCGAGGAUGAACAAUUACCCUGAGGAGAACCUCCCUGAUGACAACAGAUGCCAGACCAUAAAACACUUCCCAGAGUCCCAGAGCAGAGCCCCAGCAGCCCACAGGAGACAGAGCAUCCCAGUCUGUGGGCCCCAGGCUGAUUCCUGCCCCGUGGGGAUGACCAGCAGCAUCAGCAGCCCUGGACUGCUCACAGCCAGAUACAGCGACCUGGGCAAUGGGAAUGGGAUGCUGAAACACAUCGAGGAGAACGCAGAAGGACCUGGACAAAUCCCUCAGCUGCCACGGAAAAAGGAGAAGAGAGAUUUCCCUAAACCAGCAAUCAAUGGUUUGCCUCCGACUCCAAAGGUGCUGAUGGGAGCCUGUUUUUCCAAAGUCUUUGAUGGUUGUCCUUUGAAGAUUAAUUGUGCAACUUCAUGGAUACAUCCAGAUACUAAAGAUCAGUACAUCAUCUUUGGCACAGAAGAAGGGAUCUACACUCUGAAUUUGAAUGAACUUCAUGAAGCAACCAUGGAGCAGUUAUUUCCUCGAAAGUGCACCUGGCUGUACGUUAUCAACAACACCUUAAUGUCCCUGUCAGGGAAAACAUUCCAGCUGUACUCCCAUAAUUUAAUAGCUUUGUUUGAACAAGCCAAAAAAACAGGAUUAGCUGCUCAUAUUCAGACCCACAGAUUUCCUGACAAAAUAUUACCCAGGAAAUUUGCCUUAACAACCAAGAUACCUGACACAAAAGGAUGCCACAAAUGCUGUAUAGUACGAAAUCCAUACACAGGCCACAAGUACCUGUGUGGUGCAUUGCAGUCAGGAAUUGUCCUGCUCCAGUGGUAUGAGCCAAUGCAGAAAUUCAUGUUAAUAAAGCACUUUGACUUCCCCCUGCCCAGCCCCCUGCACGUGUUCGAGCUGCUGGUGAUCCCGGAGCAGGAGUACCCCAUGGUGUGCGUGGCCAUCUCCCAGGGCACCGAGCCAAACCAGGUGGUGCACUUCGAGACAAUCAACCUCAACUCUGCCUCCUCCUGGUUCACUGAGAUCGGGGCAGGCAAUCAGCAGUUGGAUGCCAUUCACGUGACACAGCUGGAGAGAGACACUGUCCUGGUCUGCCUGGACAAAUAUGUGAAAAUAGUGAAUUUACAAGGGAAAUUGAAGUCAAGCAAGAAGUUGGCUUCUGAGCUGAGCUUUGAUUUCUGCAUCGAGUCAGUGGUGUGCCUUCAGGACAGCGUGCUGGCCUUCUGGAAACAUGGCAUGCAGGGCAAGAGCUUCAAGUCAGAUGAAGUGACCCAGGAGAUAUCUGAUGAAACCAGGGUUUUCCGCCUGCUGGGCUCAGACAGAGUGGUUGUGCUGGAGAGCAGGCCCACAGAAAACCCCACAGCUCACAGCAACCUCUACAUCCUGGCUGGACAUGAGAACAGUUACUGAGCAGCACUCGCCCCCAGAGAGCAGAGGGAAUUGGCCACGCUGGGACCCAGGAGCGCCGGGAAACCGGGACUUGCUGCUUCUUGUCUGACACCCGAGUUGUGCUGGUUUUUAGGGGAUAAGCCUUGUGACAUGAAGUGGAAAUUGUAGCAGGUCAUCAUCCUUAAUGAAUGAAAGUAUCAUGUAUCCAACUGCCCACGACGUGUGGUUUAUUUAUGCUGUUCCAGAGGGGAGCCUGGAGCCACAGCUGAGCCUGAGCAGCAUUCCAGCUGCUGUGCUUUGGGAAUGGCUGCUGCCCAGCUGUGAGUAUAAAUAAACAUGAUAAGAACCAGUAUUCUGUAUCCAAGCUUUGAUCACUUUUUGGUCACCUGCAUUUUUUUUCUCCUUUCUCUUUUCUCCAUUGAAGAGUCGCAUCAGUUCCUUUUGUCUUCCUCAUUAAUUAAAAUUCUUGAGGUACCAUUAAAUAUAGACUGACUCCAGGAGAGCAUCUGGUUUUACUACCUCACAUUACCCUGCUGGCUUUGAUGUGAACGCUCCUCGGGCAGGUGCAGCAGCAGCUCAGAAACAUUGGAAUGGAAGGGUUUUUUUUCAUUAAAUGCCUGUUCAGCUCUGAGAUCUGCUGCCUAGGAAGGAGAGGCUGGAAUUCCCAGGUCAUUUGGGCAGAGCAGGGAAGGUGUGUGAGAGCUGGGAGUGGUUUGGUGCUGUGUUGGCAUCGGGCUCCGUGAUCCAUAAUUUAACAGGGAGGGAAUUGUCUGGGCCCACGUGAUGGCUCAGGGACGUCUCCUUGCUCAGGACAGCUGCAAGUUGGGAAGGUCCAGAGGGGAAAACAGCCCUGCACACAUUUAGCAUUUCAGCCACUGUCAUUAAAACUAAUUCUUGCUGACUUGACAUCCAAAUCAAGUCAAGCUUUUCAGUUCUGACACUGUGUCAAAGCUUAAUAAGUAGUAAGUGUAGAGAUGAAAUUUAUAAAUCACUCCACAAAGCAUGAAAAAUGUGCUUUAGGGGCGGUCAGCUGGAAUUGCAUCUGCAGUAUUAAAAGCAGGACGAGAGAUUUUUGUCUUCUAAAAGAGUUCUCUAGUAUUGAAAUUACUUCUCCACAGGUAACAGUGACUGGUGAUUAACCUCAAAUGGUGCCUCUCCUGGUCUUUAAAACAAAAAUUAAGGUGAAGUGAAGCACCAGGUGUAGAUAUUGUAGAGCAAACACUUCUUAAUUUACCUCAUUCACUACAGAAGGUAAUUUCAGCUUCAUCUUUGAAAACACUUAAAGGAGAUCUCUAAAAGACUAGAGAAACCUGUAAAUAAAAUCUGAAUAUUUAUGGGGAAUAACUGGAGUAAAUAACUCUUGACACUGUCAUGCAGAAAUAACGAGCUGAAAGUAUUUUUCUUUGACACGAAUUGCUGAUGUUUUGCUGGAUCCUAAAGAAUAAACUUAGGAAAGUCCUCGUUUAAUCAAACCUUUUUUAGCUGUUGAAGCAUUUCUAAUGGCAUGUUGUGAAAUGCUUAGUGCUGGUUUCAUGGACAGUGGCAUUUUUUGGCAUGAUCUGCAAGAUGCUGUUUCCUAGUGUAAAACCUCACUUUGUUCCGUACCACAGAGCAGAUUUGUGUGUUCCAGCCAGCCUCGGUGACUCUGAUCAGUAUAAUUUGUGUUUAACUGUUUCAUUUAGUCUGGUAUUGUCUGUACCUUUGUUUUUGUGGAAUUUAAACCAGGCUUGAGAAAGCCUAACAGGGGGAGCUCGGGGGUGAUGAAGCAAAAGCUUGCUCAGCCCCUCUUUCCUCGCUCAACAUUUAUCAAAAUUUUAAUUACUGGAUGCACGAGGUCACGUACCUGACUUGAAAGCCUUAAAAGAGGGUCCCAGAGCUCUUGGAAGUACAAACAGCAUGGGAAGAGCAGUCUGUGGAUUAAUCUCUUUGGAUUUCCGAACCAAAUUCCUUGCAAGUGAAAAAUACAGCUGGAAUUGUGCUGACAUCUCUUUAAAGAAGAAAGGUACAACGCAUCAGGGGAGCCACGGUGUCUCUGGAUGGAAAGGACAAGACUGGGAGACUCUGAAAUGUGCUUUUUUUUUUACCUUGUUUAGUCGUUAGGUGUAACCGAGACUCAUAACUGCACUCGUUCAGUUUGUGUAACCAGGCUUUGUUCCACAGGAAUUUCUGUUGCAGUUCAGUCUAUGCCAAAUAAACUGCUUUAUUUGA